rnacentral:rRNA from 1 species
UAGCCUUACCGGUGGAUCACUCGGCUCGUGGACGAUGAAGAACGCAGCAAACUGCGAUAUUUGUGCGAACUGCAGAAACCUUGAGCAUAAAACUUUUGAACGCAUAUUGCGGCAUUGGGGUCAAACCCUUUGCUACGUCUGGUUCAGGGUCAUUUU